rnacentral:rRNA from 1 species
UUCCCGCAAGGGACCGAUGCACAGGUGCUGCAUGGCUGUCGUCAGCUCGUGUCGUGAGAUGUUGCCUUAAGUGGCGCAACGAGCGCAACCCCUGUCCCUAGUUGCCAUCAUUUAGUUGGGAACUCUAGGGAGACAAACCUCUUUUAGAGGUGGGAAGGUGGGGAUGACGUCAAGUCAGGAUGGCCCUUACGGCCUGGGCUGCACACGUGCUACAAUGCUCGGUACAGAGGGAAGCGAAACCGCGAGGUGGAGCAAAUCCUAUAAAACCGAGCCCAGUUCAGAUUGGAGUCUGCAACUCGACUCCAUGAAGCCGGAAUCGCUAGUAAUGGCGCAUCAGCUACGGCGCCGUGAAUACGUUCCCGGGCCUUGUACACACCGCCCGUCACGUCAUGAAAGCCGGUUUCGCCCGAAGUGCGCUUGCCAACCCUCAAAAGAGGCGGCGCCCUAAGGUGAGGCUGGUGAUUGGGACGAAGUCGUAACAAGGUAGCCGUAGGGGAACC